UACAGAGGGUGCAAGCGUUAAUCGGAGUUACUGGGCGUAAAGGGCGCGUAGGCGGUUAUUUAAGUUGGAUGUGAAAUCCCUGGGCUUAACCUAGGAACUGCAUUCGAAACUGGGUAACUGGAGUACUGUAGAGGGUAGUGGAAUUUCCGGUGUAGCGGUGAAAUGCGUAGAGAUCGGAAGGAACACCAGUGGCGAAGGCGGCUACCUGGACAGAUACUGACGCUGAGGCGCGAGAGCGUGGGGAGCAAACAGG
rnacentral:rRNA from 1 species